rnacentral:rRNA from 1 species
CCUAGGGGCGGCAGCAGUGGGGAAUAUUGGACAAUGGGCGAAAGCCUGAUCCAGCCAUGCCGCGUGUGUGAAGAAGGCCUUCGGGUUGUAAAGCACUUUCAGUGGGGAAGAAAGCCUUGGGGCUAAUACCCUCGAGGAAGGACAUCACCCACAGAAGAAGCACCGGCUAACUCCGUGCCAGCAGCCGCGGUAAUACGGAGGGUGCGAGCGUUAAUCGGAAUUACUGGGCGUAAAGCGCGCGUAGGCGGUCUGAUAAGCCGGUUGUGAAAGCCCCGGGCUCAACCUGGGAACGGCAUCCGGAACUGUCAGGCUAGAGUGCAGGAGAGGAAGGUAGAAUUCCCGGUGUAGCGGUGAAAUGCGUAGAGAUCGGGAGGAAUACCAGUGGCGAAGGCGGCCUUCUGGACUGACACUGACGCUGAGGUGCGAAAGCGUGGGUAGCAAACAGGAUUAGAUACCCUGGUAGUC